CUGAAGAAGGCGGAGGCCGGAGAUGAAAAGCUAGAGCUGGGUAUGGAUCCGAUUCUGCAAACGGUGCUUCAAGAGGAACUUGAAGAACACGCUGUAGAGCUUAACAGCUACGCUUGCUCUGUAGGGAGUAGAAUUGGUUGAGAAAUGAGAGGAGGGCACAUGAGAGAAGACCCAGGAACCACGUCCGGAAUUGGUCUAACUCUUCCCGCUGGUGUUUGAUUUGGGUAGCCAAGUCCUCUGUUAAAAACAGAGAACAAAGCUGAAGAUUGUUGUUGCAGAGAGAAAAGAAGGAUUGAAGGUGAGAUUUCAGUGGCAGCUGAAGUUUCUGAUUUGCAAGAGAGAUCGAACAAAUCUAUGAGCAAACUUGGUUCUGCAGGAUUUGAUCGAAUUUCUCAGCUGGUAUUUUAGAGAUAUUCGUGCUGAUAACGUGUUAUAAAUCUAGUGAGAAAAUGGAGAGGAAAUUGAGAGAGAGAGAAGAGAAUGUUUUCUCAUUCAUUAUUGUCAUUUCUCUUAGUAUUAUCAAUCUGAUAUCUAUAGGCAAGGAAAUGUGAUGCCCGUGAAUGUGCAAUAACUUCAUGCACCAAAUAGUAAGUGGGCUCCACCUUCUUGACUUUUACAACAAACAUAUAUAUACACUCAGUUUAUACUC